rnacentral:ncRNA from 1 species
UAAAUUGAGAGUUUGAUCCUGGCUCAGGACGAACGCUGGCGGCGUGCCUAACACAUGCAAGUCGAGCGGAGAAUGCGGAUAUGUUUACAUAGAAGCGUUCUUAGCGGCGGACGGGUGAGUAACACGUGGGUAACCUGCCUCAAAGUGGGGGAU